CAGCCGCCACGGGAAUACGUAGGGUGCAAGCGUUAAUCGGAAUUACUGGGCGUAAAGCGUGCGCAGGCGGUUAUAUAAGACAGAUGUGAAAUCCCCGGGCUCAACCUGGGAACUGCAUUUGUGACUGUAUAGCUAGAGUACGGCAGAGGGGGAUGGAAUUCCGCGUGUAGCAGUGAAAUGCGUAGAUAUGCGGAGGAACACCGAUGGCGAAGGCAAUCCCCUGGGCCUGUACUGACGCUUAUGCACGAAAGCGUGGGGAGCAAACAGGAUUAGAGACCCCUGUAGUCCCUGUCUCUUAUAC
rnacentral:rRNA from 1 species